GUAGUCAUAUGCUUGUCUCAAAGAUUAAGCCAUGCAUGUCUAAGUAUAAGCAAUCUAUAUAGUGAAACUGCGAAUGGCUCAUUAAAUCAGUUAUCGUUUAUUUGAUGGUACAUUACUACUUGGAUAACCGUGGUAAUUCUAGAGCUAAUACAUGCUAAAAAUCCCAGUCUCUGGCUGGGAUGUAUUUAUUAGAUAAAAAACCAAUGUCUUCGGACUCUUUGGUGAUUCAUAAUAACUUUUCGAAUCGCAUGGCCUUGUGCCGGCGAUGGUUCAUUCAAAUUUCUGCCCUAUCAACUUUCGAUGGUAGGAUAGUGGCCUACCAUGGUUUCAACGGGUAACGGGGAAU
rnacentral:rRNA from 1 species